UUUAAAAUCUCUAUAACAUCGAUGAACGGACACACGAAGGGAGUGUGUAGAGCGGGUGCCGAUGUGUGUUUAAUCGAUCGCCCGGCAACACACAUUGCACUAUUGCAGCAACUCGAUUCCUAUCAUCAGUCAUAGAUGGCGUAGACCCGCUCAAAUUCAACAAAGGAAAUAAAUAACAAAGCCAUUUUUUUUAUUGUUUUUAACUAGAUAUUAUACUAGACGUCAGUAAACAAUGAAAGGUUUAAAUGUAUGUAAAUUCAAGUGUGGUGGAGGUAGGGAGUGAAAAUGAAUUUCAAGAUGGCCGAUUUCUUGCCUUCUUUCCUCCCGUUUCUAUUUGAUUCUCGUUGGCAAGGGGGAGCGUCUUUCGGUGUUUGUUAUGAUUUUGUGUCGUCUCGGUCAAAUGUUUCAAGUUCUUGCCAAUUGUUCUAUCCUAUCUGUUAUUUCUUUCUUUCCUUCUUUCUUAGCAGCCUGUGUGUGACGUGUGACUGCCAGGACUUUUAUAUCACGAAGCAAAGAAAAGGCAUUUGCUGGAGGAGAGCUGUCAUCAACAUUCAUUUUGCUUCUACAUUUUUUAGGAUCAUGUGACGUCAAUGCUUCUUGUUUUCCAACCACUGUUGAGGCGUUCCGAUGGCAGCCUGUCACACAUUCAAUUGGUUCAAGGACAAUGUGGGACAACAGUGCUGGCCACAACUUGGGGAGACUACUAACAGUUGUCCAGGGUGGUCAACACAACACUUGCUGGUCAAAUCUGAUCUUCUGUUCAAAUGUUAAAAGAAGAUUGGCCAGUUGAUGGCAGCCUGCACCAAUGCUGCCGAGACAAGUUCAUUCACCAACACCUACUACGUUCCUCUAAAUGAUGAAAGAGAAAACAAAUCCUCAGAAGCAAGAGUGUAUGUAUUGGACCAGAAAAUGAAUUGUUGCUGGAAGCUCAAAUAGUUUGUGCCAUUUUCCAAAACAAUGCCCUUAAACUGUGCAGCGAACUGAGCGACAAUGUGGUCCAGCAAUUCGCUCAGUGCAUCGAGACCACACGCCGUCACGUGGAAUAUCUCCCCUUUCUGCCAACGAUCGUGAAAGCGGAAGGCCAAAUCAUCCGUAAGAACUGGUCGGGGAGGAAGUACUCUUCUUUUACAACGUCAAUAAGGCCUUGUUCUACGACUUUCUCGACAUGAUGAGUGCCGAACGGUACCGGCUGGAACUCAGCACUGGAAGCAGCGGAGCUCUCAAGUAAAACCAAAAGAAACCUAAUUCCCUAAAAGCUUCGAACUUAUUCCGUCUUUUUUAGUUACCACAUUAAAGUUGAAUUUCUAUUUCAUUGAAGGUGGAUUAAACAUACUGAACGACAGCGUGAGUCGUGGCGACAAUGAGUACGCUGAAAGGAUCCUAGCGUCCAGAAUUUUUUUUUUUUUUAAUCACGUCGUGCACAUCGUUUGCAAUCGCCUUCCAUUCUUUUUUGCUGUCCGUUGAGCGUUGCAGUAGGAAUUUUACUGUUCAAGCAAUGUUGUGUCCACACUAACAUAUGCGCUCAGCAAUUCAAUUAGCGAUUGACCUGAAUAUCAAUUACAACACGUGUUAUUGACUCCGCAGCCGUGGUUUAGUAUUUUUAUUUUUGUUUGCGCUGCCAGCGUUGUGCUCGAGAAACACUGCUGUGAUGUCAAUAACAUUGGUUUUAAUAUUGAUAUCCAGGUCAAUCCUUCAUGAAAACCGACUGCGCAUUUUUUUUUUUAAUAAAUAGGAUGCAAGGAUAGUGAUCGCCACUAUUAAGAAAUACUGUUACCUGUAUAUAAAAGGUGAAUGACUGAUUGGCAUAUCUAUCUGAAUUCGUUCGAUCAACAAACACGAUACAGAUGCAACAAUUUGUACUUGUUAAAUAAAUAUAGCCGGAACCUGGUUGUCGAAUUCCUUAUAAAAGCGUCUAAUGUUCCCAUUCGCUUUAUUGUUCGUGAUCAACAUUCAUUUAAAAGUAGAUUCUGAAUAAAAUUGUCUUUAGUACGAGCCGCCAUGAAUCCCGCACUACUGGUCAAUGUGAUAUUCGUUCUUGUCAUUGCCUCUCCUGUGGCUAGAUCGCAACCUUUACGUCCGAAUGGAAACCACUCUGAUCUCCCUGAUUCAAUAUCAUUCGCCGUAUCAGAAGUACAUGAAGUUGCCCCCAUUGCUGAAGCUGCGACAGAUGCCGUUCCUGAAAUUGCAGUUGUCGCCGAAGAAGAAGUUCUGGUCGUUGUUCCGGAAACGGAGCCUGUCGUCGAGCAAGUCGUCGUCGUUCCAGAACCGGAAGCUGUUGUCGAGCAAGUUGUCGUAACCUAGAAGCCAGCAGCAGUUGAAGAGUUGUCUCUUGAAUAUCUUCCUCCAGUCGUUUCCAUCGCCGAAGUGAAACCAGAAGUUAAAUUUUGUUGGUUUGGGGAAAAGUGGACAUCAAUAAUUUUUAAUCAUUAAAAUAAAAUGACAGUUUGACUGUG